GACGAACGCUGGCGGCGUGCUUAACACAUGCAAGUCGUACGGUAAGGCCCUUUCGGGGGUACACGAGUGGCGAACGGGUGAGUAACACGUGAGUAACCUGCCCACAACUUUGGGAUAACGCUAGGAAACUGGUGCUAAUACUGGAUAUGUGCUCCUGCUGCAUGGUGGGGGUUGGAAAGCUCCGGCGGUUGUGGAUGGACUCGCGGCCUAUCAGCUUGUUGGUGGGGUAGUGGCCUACCAAGGCGGCGACGGGUAGCCGGCCUGAGAGGGUGACCGGCCACAUUGGGACUGAGAUACGGCCCAGACUCCUACGGGAGGCAGCAGUGGGGAAUAUUGCACAAUGGGCGCAAGCCUGAUGCAGCAACGCCGCGUGCGGGAUGACGGCCUUCGGGCUGUAAACCGCUUUCAGCAGGGACGAAGCUUUUUGUGACGGUACCUGCAGAAGAAGCACCGGCUAACUACGUG
rnacentral:rRNA from 1 species